GCUCCAGUAGCCUUGUGGUUAGGGCAUCUGUCUCAGAUGCAGGAGGCUGUGGGUUUGAUCCCCGGCUGAGUCA